UUACCUACGGGAGGCAGCAGUGAGGAAUAUUGGUCAAUGGGCGCGAGCCUGAACCAGCCAAGUAGCGUGAAGGAUGACUGCCCUACGGGUUGUAAACUUCUUUUAUAAAGGAAUAAAGUGAGGCACGUGUGCCUUUUUGUAUGUACUUUAUGAAUAAGCAUCGGCUAACUCCGUGCCAGCAGCCGCGGUAAUACGGAGGAUGCGAGCGUUAUCCGGAUUUAUUGGGUUUAAAGGGUGCGUAGGCGGUUUUUUUAAGUUAGUGGUUAAACGUCGGGGCUUCACCUUGAUUUGCCAUUAAUACUGUA
rnacentral:rRNA from 1 species